rnacentral:tRNA from 1 species
AGCUUUUUAGUUUGUUCAAGAAUAUUUGUUUGUGUCACAAAAGGUUAAAAGCUA